UACGUAGGGGGCAAGCGUUGUCCGGAAUCAUUGGGCGUAAAGAGCGCGUAGGCGGCCCAGCAAGUCCGCUCUGAAAGUCAGGGGCUCAACCCCUGAAUGCGGGUGGAUACUACUGGGCUAGAGUCCUGAAGAGGCGAGUGGAAUUCCUGGUGUAGCGGUGAAAUGCGCAGAUAUCAGGAGGAACACCGAUGGCGAAGGCAGCUCGCUGGGACGGUACUGACGCUGAGACGCGAAAGCGUGGGGAGCGAACAGG
rnacentral:rRNA from 1 species